rnacentral:rRNA from 1 species
GGUUAAGCGACUAAGCGUACACGGUGGAUGCCCUGGCAGUCAGAGGCGAUGAAGGACGUGCUAAUCUGCGAUAAGCGUCGGUAAGGUGAUAUGAACCGUUAUAACCGGCGAUUUCCGAAUGGGGAAACCCAGUGUGUUUCGACACACUAUCAUUAACUGAAUCCAUAGGUUAAUGAGGCGAACCGGGGGAACUGAAACAUCUAAGUACCCCGAGGAAAAGAAAUCAACCGAGAUUCCCCCAGUAGCGGCGAGCGAACGGGGAGCAGCCCAGAGCCUGAAUCAGUGUGUGUGUUAGUGGAAGCGUCUGGAAAGGCGCGCGAUACAGGGUGACAGCCCCGUACACAAAAAUGCACAUGCUGUGAGCUCGAUGAGUAGGGCGGGACACGUGGUAUCCUGUCUGAAUAUGGGGGGACCAUCCUCCAAGGCUAAAUACUCCUGACUGACCGAUAGUGAACCAGUACCGUGAGGGAAAGGCGAAAAGAACCCCGGCGAGGGGAGUGAAAAAGAACCUGAAACCGUGUACGUACAAGCAGUGGGAGCACGCUUAGGCGUGUGACUGCGUACCUUUUGUAUAAUGGGUCAGCGACUUAUAUUCUGUAGCAAGGUUAACCGAAUAGGGGAGCCGAAGGGAAACCGAGUCUUAACUGGGCGUUAAGUUGCAGGGUAUAGACCCGAAACCCGGUGAUCUAGCCAUGGGCAGGUUGAAGGUUGGGUAACACUAACUGGAGGACCGAACCGACUAAUGUUGAAAAAUUAGCGGAUGACUUGUGGCUGGGGGUGAAAGGCCAAUCAAACCGGGAGAUAGCUGGUUCUCCCCGAAAGCUAUUUAGGUAGCGCCUCGUGAAUUCAUCUCCGGGGGUAGAGCACUGUUUCGGCAAGGGGGUCAUCCCGACUUACCAACCCGAUGCAAACUGCGAAUACCGGAGAAUGUUAUCACGGGAGACACACGGCGGGUGCUAACGUCCGUCGUGAAGAGGGAAACAACCCAGACCGCCAGCUAAGGUCCCAAAGUCAUGGUUAAGUGGGAAACGAUGUGGGAAGGCCCAGACAGCCAGGAUGUUGGCUUAGAAGCAGCCAUCAUUUAAAGAAAGCGUAAUAGCUCACUGGUCGAGUCGGCCUGCGCGGAAGAUGUAACGGGGCUAAACCAUGCACCGAAGCUGCGGCAGCGACACUAUGUGUUGUUGGGUAGGGGAGCGUUCUGUAAGCCUGUGAAGGUGUGCUGUGAGGCAUGCUGGAGGUAUCAGAAGUGCGAAUGCUGACAUAAGUAACGAUAAAGCGGGUGAAAAGCCCGCUCGCCGGAAGACCAAGGGUUCCUGUCCAACGUUAAUCGGGGCAGGGUGAGUCGACCCCUAAGGCGAGGCCGAAAGGCGUAGUCGAUGGGAAACAGGUUAAUAUUCCUGUACUUGGUGUUACUGCGAAGGGGGGACGGAGAAGGCUAUGUUGGCCGGGCGACGGUUGUCCCGGUUUAAGCGUGUAGGCUGGUUUUCCAGGCAAAUCCGGAAAAUCAAGGCUGAGGCGUGAUGACGAGGCACUACGGUGCUGAAGCAACAAAUGCCCUGCUUCCAGGAAAAGCCUCUAAGCAUCAGGUAACAUCAAAUCGUACCCCAAACCGACACAGGUGGUCAGGUAGAGAAUACCAAGGCGCUUGAGAGAACUCGGGUGAAGGAACUAGGCAAAAUGGUGCCGUAACUUCGGGAGAAGGCACGCUGAUAUGUAGGUGAAGUCCCUCGCGGAUGGAGCUGAAAUCAGUCGAAGAUACCAGCUGGCUGCAACUGUUUAUUAAAAACACAGCACUGUGCAAACACGAAAGUGGACGUAUACGGUGUGACGCCUGCCCGGUGCCGGAAGGUUAAUUGAUGGGGUUAGCCGCAAGGCGAAGCUCUUGAUCGAAGCCCCGGUAAACGGCGGCCGUAACUAUAACGGUCCUAAGGUAGCGAAAUUCCUUGUCGGGUAAGUUCCGACCUGCACGAAUGGCGUAAUGAUGGCCAGGCUGUCUCCACCCGAGACUCAGUGAAAUUGAACUCGCUGUGAAGAUGCAGUGUACCCGCGGCAAGACGGAAAGACCCCGUGAACCUUUACUAUAGCUUGACACUGAACAUUGAGCCUUGAUGUGUAGGAUAGGUGGGAGGCUUUGAAGUGUGGACGCCAGUCUGCAUGGAGCCGACCUUGAAAUACCACCCUUUAAUGUUUGAUGUUCUAACGUUGACCCGUGAUCCGGGUUGCGGACAGUGUCUGGUGGGUAGUUUGACUGGGGCGGUCUCCUCCUAAAGAGUAACGGAGGAGCACGAAGGUUGGCUAAUCCUGGUCGGACAUCAGGAGGUUAGUGCAAUGGCAUAAGCCAGCUUGACUGCGAGCGUGACGGCGCGAGCAGGUGCGAAAGCAGGUCAUAGUGAUCCGGUGGUUCUGAAUGGAAGGGCCAUCGCUCAACGGAUAAAAGGUACUCCGGGGAUAACAGGCUGAUACCGCCCAAGAGUUCAUAUCGACGGCGGUGUUUGGCACCUCGAUGUCGGCUCAUCACAUCCUGGGGCUGAAGUAGGUCCCAAGGGUAUGGCUGUUCGCCAUUUAAAGUGGUACGCGAGCUGGGUUUAGAACGUCGUGAGACAGUUCGGUCCCUAUCUGCCGUGGGCGCUGGAGAACUGAGGGGGGCUGCUCCUAGUACGAGAGGACCGGAGUGGACGCAUCACUGGUGUUCGGGUUGUCAUGCCAAUGGCACUGCCCGGUAGCUAAAUGCGGAAGAGAUAAGUGCUGAAAGCAUCUAAGCACGAAACUUGCCCCGAGAUGAGUUCUCCCUGACUCCUUGAGAGUCCUGAAGGAACGUUGAAGACGACGACGUUGAUAGGCCGGGUGUGUAAGCGCAGCGAUGCGUUGAGCUAACCGGUACUAAUGAACCGUGAGGCUUAACCUU